AGUGAACGCUGGCGGUAGGCCUAACACAUGCAAGUCGAACGGCAGCACAGUAAGAGUUUGCUCUUACGGGUGGCGAGUGGCGGACGGGUGAGGAAUACAUCGGAAUCUACUUUUUCGUGGGGGAUAACGUAGGGAAACUUACGCUAAUACCGCAUACGACCUACGGGUGAAAGCAGGGGAUCUUCGGACCUUGCGCGAUUGUAUGAGCCGAUGUCGGAUUAGCUAGUUGGCGGGGUAAAGGCCCACCAAGGCGACGAUCCGUAGCUGGUCUGAGAGGAUGAUCAGCCACACUGGAACUGAGACACGGUCCAGACUCCUACGGGAGGCAGCAGUGGGGAAUAUUGGGCAAUGGGCGCAAGCCUGAUCCAGCCAUGCCGCGUGGGUGAAGAAGGCCUUCGGGUUGUAAAGCCCUUUUGUUGGGAAAGAAAAGCAGCAGGUUAAUACCCCGCUGUUCUGACGGUACCCAAAGAAUAAGCACCGGCUAACUUCGUG
rnacentral:rRNA from 1 species